rnacentral:tRNA from 1 species
GCAAGCGUAACUCAGUUGGUAGAGUGCCACCUUCCCAAGGUGGAUGUCGCGAGUUCGACCCUCGUCGCUUGCUCCA